rnacentral:tRNA from 1 species
UCCCUGAUAGCUCAGUUGGUAAAGAAUCUGCUUGCAAUGCAGGAAACCCUGGUUCUAUUCCUGGUUCAGGCA